rnacentral:rRNA from 1 species
GACGAACGCUGGCGGCGUGCUUAACACAUGCAAGUCGAACGGUGAAGCGCCUUCCUUUUUGGUGGGUGUGGAUGAGUUGCGAACGGGUGAGUAACACGUGAGUAACCUGCCCCCUUCUUCUGGAUAACCGCAUGAAAGUGUGGCUAAUACGGGAUAUUCUGGGUCUGUCGCAUGAUGGGUCUGGGAAAGAUAUUGUUUCGGUGGGGGAUGGGCUCGCGGCCUAUCAGCUUGUUGGUGGGGUGAUGGCCUACCAAGGCGGUGACGGGUAGCCGGCCUGAGAGGGUGGACGGUCACACUGGGACUGAGACACGGCCCAGACUCCUACGGGAGGCAGCAGUGGGGAAUAUUGCACAAUGGGCGCAAGCCUGAUGCAGCGACGCCGCGUGAGGGAUGGAGGCCUUCGGGUUGUGAACCUCUUUCGCCAGUGAAGCAGGCCUGCCUCGUUUGUGGGUGGGUUGACGGUAGCUGGAUAAGAAGCGCCGGCUAACUACGUG